UUAACUCGAAUUUGUAUGGAUUUGACGCGUUUGCCUACAUUUGUCGCUAGGGGCGCUGUUCCAACUGCAUACAAAUUUGAGUUA
rnacentral:pre_miRNA from 1 species